UGAAGUUGAAUCAAAGUUGAAGGCUGCCAACUCAGGAGGAAGUAGAUGCUUCAGAGUAAUGGAUUGUAAACUUGGGUGAAAUUGAAACUGGGAAGGAAAUAUACACCAGAUGGCAGAGGAACGAACUGAAGUAGUUUUAGACAUACAGAGCAGUGGUUUUCAAUGGGCUGUCAGGAUGGAGGGGCAGUUCUUCCCUCUCCCCAGGGAUCAUUUGGUAAUGUCUGGAGACAUUUUUGUUUUACAAUUUGGAGGAAGAUGGUUCCUGACAUCUACUGAGCAGGGACCAGAGAUGCUGCUAAUCAUUCUAUUAAUAUACAGGACAGCCUCCCACAACAAAGAAUGAUUUAACCUUACAUGUGAUAGUUUUGAAGCUGAGAAGUCCUGUGAUGGAAAAGAGAAUGGAUAGAUGGACAAAGAAAUGGCUAAGGUCAGAGAAAACGUUCCUUUCUAGUAGAAAGGGAAUAUGAGUGAACAUGUUCUCUGUCUGCAGAUUCCAGGGACAUUUUCAAAGGAAUUGAAAAAGUGACUGGUGAUAUCCUGGACUUGAAAUAAGACACUGCCCUACUGCACUGUCUACAGCUCUGCACAGUAAAAGCACAUUCACUGUUAGAGGAGGCGUACAUGUGACAAGGUGCGCCAGACACUUGAACGUACGUGACUGCACAUGUGAAUGCACUCAGUGUCUUUGAAAGUUUUCAACUGGAAGGCUGGACUGGAUUUUGGACACUUGGCCUCUGAACCACGAAGGAACAAAUUUCUGUUGUUUUAAACCAUCAAAUUUGUGGUAAUUUGUUGCACAGGAAAUUAAUACAGUCAAUAGGAGUCUAUCCCGCGGUUCUUGGACAGGGCACCUCAGUAGAAACUGAUUGAAGUAAAUAAGACAUUGUCUUUGCUAUUAAAUAUUUCAUCAAAGCCCUCGUGAAUUUUCAGAUCCAAAGCAGCUGUGAGCAAGGUGGGCCAAAGAUCAG